GAUGAACGCUGGCGGCGUGCCUAAUACAUGCAAGUCGAGCGAACCGACGAGGAGCUUGCUGCUCUGACGUUAGCGGCGGACGGGUGAGUCACACGUGGAUGACCCACCUAUAAGAAAGGGAUAAUAUUAGGAAACCGUAGCUAAUACCGGAUAAUAUAUUUAAUCACAUGGAUAAAUACUGUAAGACGGCUUUGCUUUCACUUAUCUAUGGAUCCGCGUAGCAGUAGCUAGUUGGUAAGGUAACGAGUUACCCUGGAAACGAUGCGGAGCCGACAGGAGAGGGUGAGCGGCCAGCCUGGAAGUGAGACAGGGUCCAGACUGCCACGGGAGGGAGCAUUAGGGAAUCUUCCGGAAUGAGCGAAAACCUGACGGAACAACGCCGCGUGAGUGAUGAAGGACUUCGGAUCGUAAAACUCUGUUAUUAGGGAAGAACAAAUGUGUAAGUUACGAUGCACGUCUUGACGGUACCUAAACAGAAAGCCACGGCUAACUACGUG
rnacentral:rRNA from 1 species